AUUGUCAGCGCGCGCAGCCGAAGAAUCCUCCACGCGUCCGUCGUGCUGCAAAACCUACUAAUUCAUUUACGACAUAAAUCAAUUACAGCACCAUGUCACUCUGUUAUGCGUUUGUGUGAAUGGUGCGCAAAUAUCGUUUCAGCUGCAUUGAUAAUUAGCCUUUCAUUUAACAUUUGUCAUUUAGGCUACUCAUUCGUUUAUUUUAGCCAAUACGGGACGUCAUCUUAUACAGUUGCCCGUUUUUCGUGAUGGUUUGACAACAUGAUUGGCCUGCAACUUCUCAUGCCAACAACCUAACUUGAUCUCUCAGCAUCUAAGCUCCAUAACUAUUGUGUGUAGGAGGGAUGCACGAUAUAUCGGUGAGAAUAUCGCAAUCGGACGAUAUUAGCCAAAAAGGCCAACAUCUGUAGUUUAACGGCAAUGUCGGAAACCAAUGUCAAAGCUGAAGUGCAUACCUACAUAACAUAGGUAGGUGACGUAAGGACAUCACGAACAACACAGAGCUGCAUUCCUAACCUGGCCCACAAUGUCUGCUGUGUGGAUCUAUUUUCAAGUUUCAAAGGAAGAUAACAGAAAGGCCAUCUGCAACAUUUGUGCUGCUGUUAUUUCCCGAGGAGGGGAGAAAGUGAAAUUGUUCAAUACCACAAACCUAAUUACUCAUUUGAAAGUGCAUCACCCCCAGACGUUCAGCGACUACUACCUUGAAGGCCAGCAUCCCGGAGUUGCCUCUUCACUGUUGACAUUGAGACGGGUGUUUUUCCGGGUACUAUUUACUGAAGCUGCCAGUUGAGGACUUGUGAGGCGUCUGUUUCUCAAACAAGACACUCUAAUGUACUCUUCCUCUUGAUCAUUUUUGUAUUUCCUCAAUUAAAGAUGAGGUGAUGUGUUGUAAAUUUGCUCUCAUUUUACUAGUCAAGUCAGUUCAGCACAUUUGAAAAGUUUUAAGUUGUGCCAUUUAUAGCAGUUUACGACCGCCUUGAGACAGUCAUUUUUCCCAAGCAGUUAAAUCUAAAAUGAUUAACUGCAUUUUAAUAUGAACCAAUAUUUCUUUCAAAGCAUUUAAGUUUCUCCAUACGGUCAAGAUGGAAUAGUAAGAAGAGCCACCAGCAACUUAACCAUCUUUGUAAUGCGGGGCAGAUAAAAUAUUUGUGUAAUGAAUAUCGGUUGUGUCGAUAAAAUGCAUUCAUGGAUGUGUCAUUUUUCUAACAAUCUGUUCCUAACUGAACAAAUUAACAUAUGACACUUUGUUUCAACUAUUUACCUACUAGAAUGCUUAAAAGUCUGCUAAAAUGUUAAAUAUCGGUUCUCGGUAUCGGUAUCUGUUUCUUUGGCAAGGAAAAUAUUGGAUAUCUGUAUCGGCCAAAAAUGUCAUAUCGGUGCAUCCCUAAUUGUGUGCCGCCACACUGUAUACGGUAUGUAUAGUCCUCUCCUCUCCUGGCUAGCAUACAUAACAGUUCUUUGUGAGAUGUGGUAUACUUCCCUGUCCAACUCAUGCUUCAGCAUAGUGCUCUCCCCUCGCCUCCACCCCCCUCUCCUCACUCCCCCUCCUCUUCAUGGCUGGUUGCCAUGGCAGCUGAUUGGAAUGUUCACUCAGUCUCCAGCAGCAUAUUGCUGUUCACCCCCUAGGAGAGGACAAGCCGCUUACAAAAGGUAACAUCUAGGUAUUAACCAGGGUGCUGAGGUCCGCUGAAAGUGUGAUUCAUUAAUUUCACAUGUUCAUUUACUUGUAAGAGAUGGUCAUUAUUUGUGAUUAUUUAGUAUUAUAAAAAAUAUAUAUAUUAUGACCUAGCAAACCAUUGUAAAUGUAUUGUAUUCUUUGUAUUUGCCUGGGUUUAGUGGACUCAUUUUCAUCAGUGUUUUAUUUGCAGGUUUAGUAAACUUAUUCUCCAAUCAUAGCCAACCAUGCUCACACCUCUUUAAGGCUUCUGUCUGGGGACUUUCCAUGAAAUAAACUUGCAAACAGAAUGCAGACAGGAGAUACACAGCACCGCUCACCUUCCACUUUCAUCUAGAUAAUUACUUUGCAUCUCCUUGCUCCACGUUUGAUUGGAGAGAGAGGAUAUGAGAGAGAGAAAGAGCAAGGGAGAGAGCAAGAAAUAGAUAUGGAUAAAGAGGGAGCGAAAGAGAGAGAGAGAUAUA